GUCCACGCCGUAAACGAUGGAUACUAGCUGUUGGGGCAACUUCAGUGGCUAAGCGAAAGUGAUAAGUAUCCCACCUGGGGAGUACGUUCGCAAGAAUGAAACUCAAAGGAAUUGACGGGGGCCCGCACAAGCGGUGGAGCAUGUGGUUUAAUUCGAUGAUACGCGAGGAACCUUACCAAGGCUUAAAUGUAGAUUGACCGGUUUGGAAACAGACUUUUCGCAAGACAAUUUACAAGGUGCUGCAUGGUUGUCGU
rnacentral:rRNA from 1 species